ensembl:lncRNA
CUCGGCGUCUCGCGGGGCCGCCUCCCCCGGACGCUCGCCUGGCUCCCCGUCUCGCUCUGCCCCAGGCCCGACAGGCCGGGACGCCGUCCGACCCCAGCCGAGGCCACCCACAGGCCGGGCGCCUCGGGCCUCCGUGGGUGCUUGGACUCUCCCGCAGCACCACUGCCGCCGGGAGAAAGGUCGUGGCGGCUCGCAGCCCCCCGCCCCCAGCCCCCCGCUGGCUCCUUGGUGAGGUGCUACUUGGCGGCGGCCGCGCUGGGGGGAUGUGGGGACGGCGGGCCGAGGCGGAGGGGGCCGGUUGUGGGGAGGGUGAGCCACCUGUCUCUCUCUGAGUCGGGGGUCACUUGCUGGAGCCCCCGGUGCCUUCUCUCGGCCGGCCGUCGGCCCGGCAACCGCCAGCGAUGGAGCUGCACGUGGGUGGUGGUCUUGGGCGGGGAUGAGAGCAGAGCGCCGGCCCCCGCCGGCCCCCGCCGCCCCCGCCCGGGCAGGCGGUGGUUGGAAAGCGGUUGUGGGCGUCUCCCGGUGGCCGGACCACCAGGCAGUGGAGGCCAGAGAGCAGGGAGAUAGAUGCAGGAGGCCAGUGGGGCUAACCCGCGGGCCGGGCAGGUGGGAGGCGGCGGAGGCACCCCGGGGACAGACGGGGUGCCCUUGGAGGCCCCGGGUCAGUCCAACUGCACGACCGCUACCCCGAAUCCUGGGGCAGAGGGGCAGGCGUGUUCCCCGACACAGCUUCCUCCACCCCGGCCCCCGGCCGCCGGCCCGGCCCCGGCCCCAGCCCCACGUGGCCGGCCCCCCAGCUGGAUGCCUCAGAAGUUGCUCCCAUUAGGACUUUUGCUGGAUUCAACGCUUGCUACUCCUGUUCCUUUCGUUGUCUCGUAUAGCUGUUCUAAUCAAAUGAGUAGAUUUAUUUAGAGAGUAAUACAAGUUUGCAUAAAGCUCUUUCGGGUCUAUUUGGGAUGUAUACUCUCAAGAAUGAAGAAUUCAUAAUAGCUGCAAAAGUUAAUGGGAUGCUCUCUCUCUUUUUUUUUUUUUAUAGUUUAGGGAGAGCAAAGCCCUGAUCAAAAUUGAUUUCAUAGUAGAGAAUGAGAUGUAUAUUUUUCGCGUUAAUUUAUGACCCUCAUUGCCACUCUUCUUAUUCUAGUGAGGGUAAAGCAGUACAUUAUGUACCUACAUUAGUCUUAGUAUUAACACUCCACCGUACAUCUUUCAUCAUGUGUUGUUCUAUUAAAGAGCCUCUUAGUUUGUCAUAGUUUUAGUUCAUCACAUAUUCUAUGUAUUUUCUGAGAUGCCUGAUGGUUCAGUUAAGCAUGUAACAGUGAUCUCCAUGUUAUGAGUCCAAUUCCCACCUUGGGCAUAGAUUUUACUUAAAAAAAUAAGUUACACUUUCCCGUGGGAGGUGCCUUCUGUACCUGGAGAAAAGAGACCUAAAUAUCUCCCAAGGUAAAGGUAUAUAGAGAAUAAUCUAUUUGCAAUAUUUCAAUGUAGUAUUAGUGGUGAUUGUGAUAAAAUGUUCCAUUCCAUCCAAUUUUGGGGAAUAAAGUUAUAAUUGAAAAUUUUUAGAAAAAAAUU